rnacentral:rRNA from 1 species
GACGUAGGGCGCGAGCGUUGUCCGGAUUUAUUGGGCGUAAAGAGCUCGUAGGCGGCUUGUCGCGUCGACUGUGAAACCCGCGGCUCAACCGCGGCUUGCAGCCGAUACGGGCAGGCUAGAGUUCGGUAGGGGGAGACUGGAAUUCCGUGGUGUAGCGGUGAAAUGCGCAGAUAUCAGGAGGAACACCGGUGGCGAAGGCGGGUCUCUGGGCCGAUACUGACGCUGAGGAGCGAAAGCGUGGGGAGCGAACAGG